rnacentral:misc_RNA from 1 species
UUUGUCUCUAGAGCUUCUGCAGGUUAAGUCGUGGGCGCUUUUUCUAUGCAUGCAUUAAAGGGAUAAUGAAACAGUCAUGUCACAUAAUGUGGCAGCCAUGAAAAGUCUUGACUUCUGAUUUACUCUGUAUUGUGCUUUUGGUUUCAGUCUUAGUUUUCUGUGGUCCUGUCUAUGAUUUGACAUUUUAAUUCAUAGAGGACUCCAAGGUUAAAAAUUGAAGCAAAGAAGCCAUACAAUGAAUUGUAUGACAUAAAUAUUGUUUUAUAACAUCUACCUUAUUAAACUAAUAAUUGCCAUGGUAUAUAAUUGCCCUCGAGAGUUGAUUUAUUUUGGUCGAAACUUAGAACAUAUACUAGACUUUUCCUCCAUUUGGGGACAAUUUAUGACAUGCUGCCUGCUCAAAUUAUGAGGAUGUAACUCAUUUUUUGUUCUCCAUCCCCAUGAAGAACAAAGUGAGGAAAGGAUGAUGU